CCCGCACAAGCGGUGGAGCAUGUGGUUUAAUUCGACGCAACGCGAAAAACCUUACCUGGGUUUGACAUGCCGAGUACCCGAUGGAAACAUUGGGGUGCCCCGUAAGGGGAACUUGGACACAGGUGCUGCAUGGCUGUCGUCAGCUCGUGCCGUGAGGUGUUGGGUUAAGUCCCGCAACGAGCGCAACCCUCACCCUUAGUUGCCAUCAUUAAGUUGGGCACCCUAAGGGAACUGCCGCAGUUAAUGCGGAGGAAGGUGGGGAUGACGUCAAGUCCUCAUGGCCCUUAUAUCCAGGGCUACACACGUGCUACAAUGGACGGUACAAAGGGUCGCGAACCUGCAAAGGGGAGCUAACCCCAGAAAACCGCUCUCAGUUCGGAUUGGAGUCUGCAACCCGACUCCAUGAAGUUGGAAUCGCUAGUAAUCGCGGAUCAGAACGCCGCGGUGAAUACGUUCUCGGGGUUU
rnacentral:rRNA from 1 species